UACGAAGGGUGCAAGCGUUGCUCGGAAUUACUGGGCGUAAAGGGUGCGUAGGCGGUUUUUUAAGUCGGUCGUGAAAUCCCCGGGCUCAACCUGGGAAUGGCGAUGGAUACUGGCGAGCUAGAGUGUGUCAGAGGAUGGUGGAAUUCCCGGUGUAGCGGUGAAAUGCGUAGAGAUCGGGAGGAACAUCAGUGGCGAAGGCGGCCAUCUGGGACAACACUGACGCUGAAGCACGAAAGCGUGGGGAGCAAACAGG
rnacentral:rRNA from 1 species